UUCCUCAUGGCCCAAUGGUUACGGCGUUCGGCUACGAUUUAAUAUCUAAUGAGGAACCGAGAGAUUCCAGGUUCGAGUCCUGGUGGGGAAG
rfam:Ascoidea rubescens DSM 1968 unplaced genomic scaffold ASCRTscaffold_15, whole genome shotgun sequence.